GAUGAACGCUGGCGGCGUGCCUAAUACAUGCAAGUCGAGCGAACAGACGAGGAGCUUGCUCCUCUGACGUUAGCGGCGGACGGGUGAGUAACACGUGGAUAACCUACCUAUAAGACUGGGAUAACUUCGGGAAACCGGAGCUAAUACCGGAUAAUAUAUUGAACCGCAUGGUUCAAUAGUGAAAGACGGUUUUGCUGUCACUUAUAGAUGGAUCCGCGCCGCAUUAGCUAGUUGGUAAGGUAACGGCUUACCAAGGCAACGAUUCGUAGCCGACCUGAGAGGGUGAUCGGCCACACUGGAACUGAGACACGGUCCAGACUCCUACGGGAGGCAGCAGUAGGGAAUCUUCCGCAAUGGGCGAAAGCCUGACGGAGCAACGCCGCGUGAGUGAUGAAGGUCUUCGGAUCGUAAAACUCUGUUAUUAGGGAAGAACAAAUGUGUAAGUAACUAUGCACGUCUUGACGGUACCUAAUCAGAAAGCCACGGCUAACUACGUG
rnacentral:rRNA from 1 species